rnacentral:rRNA from 1 species
GAUGAACGCUGGCGGCGUGCCUAAUACAUGCAAGUCGAGCGAACAGACGAGGAGCUUGCUCCUCUGACGUUAGCGGCGGACGGGUGAGUAACACGUGGAUAACCUACCUAUAAGACUGGGAUAACUUCGGGAAACCGGAGCUAAUACCGGAUAAUAAAUUGAACCGCAUGGUUCAAUAGUGAAAGACGGUUUUGCUGUCACUUAUAGAUGGAUCCGCGCCGCAUUAGCUAGUUGGUAAGGUAACGGCUUACCAAGGCGACGAUGCGUAGCCGACCUGAGAGGGUGAUCGGCCACACUGGAACUGAGACACGGUCCAUACUCCUACGGGAGGCAGCAGUAGGGAAUCUUCCGCAAUGGGCGAAAGCCUGACGUAGCAACGCCGCGUGAGUGAUGAAGGUCUUCGGAUCGUAAAACUCUGUUAUUAGGGAAGAACAAAUGUGUAAGUAACUAUGCACGUCUUGACGGUACCUAAUCAGAAAGCCACGGCUAACUACGUG